rnacentral:rRNA from 1 species
AGCGAACGUUAGCGGCGGGCCUAACACAUGCAAGUCGAGCGAGAAAGUGGCUUCGGCCACGAGUAAAGCGGCGGACGGGUGAGUAACACGUAGGUAAUCUUCCCUUGAGCGGGGGACAACGAGCCGAAAGGCUCGCUAAUACCGCAUACGUUUCCAGAGGCCCCGGUCUCUGGAAGGAAAGCUAGGCCGCAAGGUCUGGCACUCGAGGAGGAGCCGGCGUCGCAUCAGCUAGUUGGUGGGGUAACGGCCUACCAAGGCGAAGACGCGUAGCUGGUCUGAGAGGAUGAUCAGCCACACUGGGACUGAGACACGGCCCAGACUCCUACGGGAGGCAGCAGUGGGGAAUAUUGGACAAUGGGCGCAAGCCUGAUCCAGCCACGCCGCGUGAGUGAUGAAGGCCUUCGGGUCGUAAGGCUCUGUGGGGAGGGACGAACCGCUGCACGUUCAUAGCGUGCAGCAUGACGGUACCUCCUUAGCAAGCACCGGCUAACUUCGUGCCAGCCGCCGCAGUAA